AUUUGGAUACAAGAUCCUGGGCUAGUCACAAAAUUAAGGCUGCAGAGGGUUAGGAGACAGAGCCACACAAAGACCUCAGGACCUGGGGGGACCAAGGGUUUCAGACUAGCGACUAGACACAUUCAGCAGUUUCCAUUUCUCAUUGUCUUCAUUCUCACAGACUGUUCUUCUUUGCGCAGCAGAGGACAAGACUCAGAGCUCAAACAAGGUAGCUUCUUUCUAGAUUUACCACCGCUUUCCUCCUUUUUCGUGGAUCACAUGGAUUGACUCUACUAUGCUUGUCUCAGGUGCCAGUGAGUAGAGUAUGAUGGUGGGAAGACAAAUGAAGGAAGAUGUAUUUAAAGCGCUACCCGACUCACUUCAAAUAGGUGAAGAAGUUCCAGCUCAAGGAGAUGGAGGGUAUUUGUUUUAAGGUGACCAGAAGACUCCCAAGAUUACUGUGGUGGAGGAAACCUUUUGCUAAACAUUUGACAGAUAAAAGCAAAGGGAUCGAGUAGCCGGUCGCAGAGAUUCUUGGUUAAACAUCUCCCUUACAUCUUUCAUGCCACUGUGCUCCCUUCAUCAGUAAGGAGAAAACUCAGUUAUUAAGCAUUUUCUCCUAAUUUAAAUUCACUUCUAAACCCUCUCUCCUCAUCCCAGACUGCCCCACUCUGCAGCUUCAGCAGACUGCAGCAACAUAAACCGGGGAAGCAAGCAUCUUCAAAGGAAGCUGAGGGGAUCAGGUGUAACUUUUUCAUUGGCGACCUCAUUCCUUUCGGGGAGGAAAGGAUAAAAAAAAGAUAUUCAAAAGGAGGCUGUGGCUCUUGGCUCAGACUCUGGGCUGACUGUAAGCUUUACGGCUUUGCCCUGCUGUGUGUUUAAUCAGCAGCUUGCAGACUGGCACAAGGCGGAUUUUUCCUCCGCUUGUUUUAUUCUAAAUAGUUUUCAAAAGGUCCCGUGGAACACAGACUGUGGCUUUGAUCGGUGAACUUAUUCACUGCUGACAUUCCCAUGAACAACU
rnacentral:lncRNA from 1 species